AACGCGAAGAACCUUACCUGGGUUAAAUCACUGGUGCAAGGUGCAGAGAUGCAUCCCCCGGGCAACCGGCGCUAGUGAAGGUGCUGCAUGGCUGUCGUCAGCUCGCGUCGUGAGAUGUUGGGUUAAGUCCCGCAACGAGCGCAACCCUUACCGCUAGUUGCCAGCAUUUAGUUGGGCACUCUAGUGGAACUGCCGGUGAUAAACCGGAGGAAGGUGGGGAUGAUGUCAAGUCAUCAUGGCCUUUAUGUCCAGGGCUACACACGUGCUACAAUGGCCGGUACAAACCGUCGCAAACUCGCGAGAGGGAGCCAUCGGAAAAAGCCGGUCUCAGUUCGGAUUGGAGUCUGCAACUCGACUCCAUGAAGUUGGAAUCGCUAGUAAUCGCAGAUCAGCACGUCUGCGGUGAAUACGUUCCCGGGUCUAGUACACACCG
rnacentral:rRNA from 1 species